CUAAAUGGACUCAUGGCGGACGGGUGAGUAACGCGUAAAGAACUUGCCCUUUAGACUGGGAUAACAGAGGGAAACUUCUGAUAAUACUGGAUAAGUUAGUAUAUCGCAUGAUAUACAAAUGAAAGCUACGGCACUAAAGGAGAGCUUUGCGUCCUAUUAGCUAGUUGGUAAGGUAAGAGCUUACCAAGGCGAUGAUAGGUAGCCGGCCUGAGAGGGUGGACGGCCACAAGGGGACUGAGAUACGGCCCUUACUCCUACGGGAGGCAGCAGUGGGGAAUAUUGGACAAUGGAGGGAACUCUGAUCCAGCAAUUCUGUGUGUGUGAAGAAGGUUUUAGGACUGUAAAACACUUUUAGUAGGGAAGAAAAAAAUGACGGC
rnacentral:rRNA from 1 species